rnacentral:rRNA from 1 species
GAUGAACGCUGGCGGCGUGCCUAAUACAUGCAAGUCGAGCGAACAGACGAGGAGCUUGCUCCUCUGACGUUAGCGGCGGACGGGUGAGUAACACGUGGAUAACCUACCUAUAAGACUGGGAUAACUUCGGGAAACCGGAGCUAAUACCGGAUAAUAUAUUGAACCGCAUGGUUCAAUAGUGAAAGACGGUUUUGCUGUCACUUAUAGAUGGAUCCGCGCCGCAUUAGCUAGUUGGUAAGGUAACGGCUUACCAAGGCAACGAUGCGUAGCCGACCUGAGAGGGUGAUCGGCCACACUGGAACUGAGACACGGUCCAGACUCCUCCGGGAGGCAGCAGUGGGGAAUCUUCCGCAAUGGGCGAAAGCCUGACGGAGCAACGCCGCGUGAGUGAUGAAGGUCUUCGGAUCGUAAAACUCUGUUAUUAGGGAAGAACAAAUGUGUAAGUAACUAUGCACGUCUUGACGGUACCUAAUCAGAAAGCCACGGCUAACUACGUG